rnacentral:misc_RNA from 1 species
GAUGAAGAACGCAGCGAACUGCGAUAAGUAAUGUCAAUUGCAGAAUUCAGUGAAUCAUCGAGUCUUUGAACGCACAUUGCGCCCCCUGGCAUUCCGGGGGGCAUGCCUGUCCGAGCGUCAUUGCUGCCCUUCAAGCCCGGCUUGUGUGUUGGGUCGUCGUCCCCCCCGGGGGACGGGCCCGAAAGGCAGCGGCGGCACCGCGUCCGGUCCUCGAGCGUAUGGGGCUUUGUCACCCGCUCGAUUAGGGCCGGCCGGGCGCCAGCCGGCGUCUCCAACCUUCUAUUUUACCAGGUUGACCUCGGAUCAGGUAGGGAUACCCGCUGAACUUAAGCAUAUCAAUAAGCGGAGGA